GAUUGAGGAGCACCAAAGCAAGGGAGAUCGAGAGAGAGAGAGAGAGAGAAAUCGGGUAAGAGAGUGAGUGGCCGAGGAAUGGCCAUUUCCAGCAACCAUGGCCGAGAAGCAAAGCUUCGAUGCUCGGCCAUGGUGGUCAAGGAAGGAGGAGCAACAGGGGGAAGGCGCAACGGAGGAUGGCGGUAACGUCCGGGCGGCUUGCGAUGGCGUAAGGAAGCAACGGAAGUGACCGUUGCAGUAGCGAACGGCCAUGGCAGCAAGCUCAGCGUGGCCAUGGCCGACGCGCAGUGAACAGAGCCGCGAGCAGCGGCUGGGCGCGGCCGGCAGUGCUGCGCGAGCAGCCUCCAGCGAGGUCGGGGGCCGGUGCGAGGCCGGCGGGAGGCGCUAGCAGCGGCGAAGGCGUUGGCAAGGAGGCUGGAGACCUCGGCAGCAGCUGGUUCGAUCGGCCAUGGCAGCCAUGGCUGAUGCGCAGUAAGUUGCUGCGAUGGCGGCAACAGUCGCGGCGGAGGGCGGUGGUGCGUGGCGCUCGGGUCCGAGAGGCCGAGGCGGCCGGCGGCGGAGGGCCGAGUGGCAGUUCGCGGUGGCGGCCGCGGCGGAUGGAGCGCGCGGGAGCUACAGGCGCGGUGCAGAGGAAGAAGAAGGAGGAGAAGGGAAAAAGAAAAAGAAGAAAGAAAAAGAAAGAAAAAGAAAAGAAAGAAAAGAAAAGAAAGAAAAGGAAGAAAAAAAGAAAAGGAAAUUGGGAAAAAUGUUGAAAAGUCCUAGAAAAAUUAUGAAAAUUAAGAAAUGAAGAUGUAAUGAUAUCCCGAAGAUUUUAGUGAGAAAAACAGCCCGGGCACGCGUUUCAAGGAUUAGAGUACGCAUACCGAAGAAACCGGAGAUGCUAAGUUAAAGAUACGUUGAGGCUGAAUUGAAGAGACUCGCGCAAAUUUUGAGGUUGGCACGCAAAUCGAGGCAAGAAUUUCGAGGUAGCCCGAUAAACUCUAAAAGCGUUCCAGUUGGGACUUGCAGAGAUGAUUCCGAGAAUGGUGAUAUGUAGUAAUGUGAGACGUCAAGAAGCGAGUAAAUGUAUCAUGUUAUGUUGUAAUAUGAGUAGUUUAAGAAUUAUGUACAUUGUAUUGUCAGACGCUUAUGAAUUAACUUUGUAAUGAAUAUCAUGUCUAGUUAUUAUUAUAUGAGCAGGUUCGAUUCAGCUUCCGCUUUGUAUUUAUUUUCUAGUGUAGAUAUCUCGCACUAGAUAAGGUCUUAGGGAAUUUCGAGAUAAUGUAAAGAAA